UACGGAGGAUGCAAGCGUUAUCCGGAUUUAUUGGGUUUAAAGGGUGCGCAGGUUGUUUGAUAAGUCAGUGGUGAAAGUCUGUCGCUUAACGGUAGGAUUGCCAUUGAUACUGUUAGGCUUGAAUAUGGAUGAGGUAGGCGGAAUGUGUAGUGUAGCGGUGAAAUGCAUAGAUAUUACACAGAACACCGAUUGCGAAGGCAGCUUACUAAUCCAUCAUUGACGCUGAGGCUCGAAAGCGUGGGGAGCAAACA
rnacentral:rRNA from 1 species